AGAAGUGAAGCCAUGAAGAAAAGCAAAUGCUCUGCUCAGACUCCACUCAAACUCAAGUUUAAGAAGGAUGUGCUGCCGUUUCAGAGCCAUUCUGCAAACACAUCUCCUGAAAAGCAGCAGGGUUCACUGCUGGUUGCUGUAGUAAGAGUCUGACGAGCUGGCAUGUUUUUAAGACACAGGACAAAAUUCAAAGUGGUUGCUGCUUGGUAAAAGAUGCUCAGAUGUUGAGAAAAGCAAGUCAUUCUGGAAUACCAGCACCAGGGAAGCUGGAAGUCAAACUCUUCAUUACUCUAAUCCCAAAAGCUUUCUUGGAAAUAUGAUUCUCAAUUUUCCAUCUUCCCCUGGUUUUCAUUCUUUCAAAUAUUUGAAUGCACCGUUUAAUUUACAGUCAGAAAUGACACCCCCUUUGCUUUCUGCCUUCCCCUGGACCAGCAUAAUUUUCCAUUUACUUUGAAAAAAUCAAAGCGUUCUCAAGUUGCAGCUCUUGACAGGCAGCAGUGCUGCAUCUCUCUGUCCCUGCAUGUGCACACAGCAAGAGCAGCAGCAGCUGCCACUGGUACCCAGACCUCCUCCCCUCAGACUGACAACCUGUCUUAAUGUUGAAAAACAGUUCAAGGUAGCACUUGAGACCAAACAUGCCAUUUUUCUUGUCAAAAUGAAAGCUGUAAAUUUUAAGCCUAAUGCUUAAUGUAUCCAGAUAUUGAACAGAGGGACUUUUAUCCUCAGCUUAAUGGUCUGUCUAAAAUCAUCAAAAAAGAUUACUUAAAAAUUCAAGGUCCUCAGAGGUCCCAUAAAAAUUGCGUGAACCAUUUUUUUCAGAGCUUUUGGGGAGGCUAGGGGAUCCUUUCAUAUAUUUUUCUUUCGCUUUGCUUUUUUUUCAAAUGCAAGGAGAGAGCAUGUACAGAAAGAUUUGUACCUCCUUUUUUCCCUGAGCUUGAAAGACUCACAGAUAACUGUGACAACAUUUAGGGGAGCCAGAGCUCGGGCUGCAGUGAAUUAGCCCGGCUCCAGCAGUUUGCAAGGAACAAGGACGAUGCACGCCAGCAGCCGCUGCUGCCCUGGCUGUUCCUUUCCAAAGCUGCCCUCUGAAAUGAAAUCCAGCACUUCCAAGCACUCCUCAGAGACACGGGCUCCAGAAAUCAUUCUCACUCAACCUGCCUGUUUGGAGUUGAUUUGUUCUGCUAAUGUCGGGUGGGAAAUAUAUUCUCAUAGUGCCAGAUCUCCCAUGCUGGGAAAUCAAAUAAUUUCAGGAGAAGGUGCUCAGAAAUCCUGGGGCUGGCCCCAGCCACGUGCUAUUCAAGAGGAGGCAUCAAAUUGCUCCUGCAUUACCUGUAACCCUCCCUCUCUGUUCAGUGGAGUAU